CCAAAAUGCUGCUGUGGGUGACUGCCUGAAAACACUCAUCAUUCGUAGUGCUUGAUACAGAGAACAUUCUAUUUUAUUUUACUAGGUUUUUGAGACAGGGUUUCUCUGUGUUGCCCUGGCUGUCCUGGAACUUUCUCUGUAGACCAGGCUGGCCUUGAACUCAGAGAUGCUCCUGCCUGUAUCUCCUUGAGCACUCAGAACAAAGGUUUGUGCCACCACUCUGCUAAGAGAGCAUUCUAACAGGGCCUUACAUAACAGAGUACACUGCUUUCCUCAUGCAAGUGCCUGACCUCAGCCGUCUGUACUGCCUCACACUUUUAGUCCCAGCACUCUGCGGGCAGAAGCAGGCAGAUCUCUGUGAGUUCAAGGCCAGCCUGCUCUACAAAGUGAGUUCCAGGACAGCCAGGGCUGUUACACAGAGAAACCCUGUCUCGAAAAACAAACCAAACCAACCAACCAACCAACCAACCAACCAACCAACCAACCAAAUAAAAAAACCUGAAGAGCCUGAUCUCUCUAUUCUAUUGUAAAUCACAGAGUUAUAAUGUCUUAGGUGACUAACAAGUAGAAUCAAGUAACUGUAGGAACCUUUAUGGAUUAAAUUCCUGCAUUUGAGGGACUUUGUGACACACAGAUAGAAUCUCUGAGCUUCUUUGACUAUCCUUGAAUCAGAAAACAAACCACCUCCCUCAACCUCAAGAAUGUUGUUACUGGUUUGUUCCUGACUUACUCUGUGACUGUGAAGAAGUUGCCGAAACUCAGCUUUUGAUGAUUAAUAUAAGAUAAACAAGAUGCGGGGCAGAGGUCACGGCAGACUCUCAUGUAGCCCAGGCUAGCCUGCCGCUCUGAUACUAGGUCUGGGAUUAUAGGCGUGUAACACCACACCUGGCUCAAGAUGCAUGCCGCAAGUCAUGGUUUGUGGAGGAAGUAGACAUAAAUAAGUCAGUGUCUUACAGGUUGGUAAACUAAUUAGCACCACACAGUCCUGGGCCAUGUAGGAAGCGAUUGUGGAAAUGUAUGGCCUGUAGGUGAUUUUAAUGAGAUGAUCUGAGAUAACUGAGGCUUUAUGAUCAGUGUAACCAGAUUAGACACCUGUCAACAUGACGCUCUUUCCCAAUCUCUGCUGCAGAUCUCAGAGCUGAUUGAUCAAGGUUUGGAAAGGACCCACAGCCUGUGCAAACUUGCCCAGCCAUUGUGGCUGAUGACAUUCCACUCCUGCGCCAGACUGUGUAAUACCAUGACCAAAAAGAAAGUUGGGGAAAGAACUUCCAUAUGCUGUUCAUUACUAAAGGAAGUCAGGACAGGAACUCAGGCCAGGAACCUGGAGGUAAGGGCUGAUCUAGAGGCCAUGGAGGGGUGCUGCUCACUGGCUUUCUCCUCAGGCUUGCUCAGCCUGCCUUCUUAUGGAACCCAGGACCACCUGCCCAGGGAUGGCACCUCCCACAGUGGGCUGGGCCCUCCCCCAUUGAUCACUGACUAAGAAAAUGCCUUACAGCUGGAUCUUAUAGAGACAUUUCCUCAACUGAGGCUCCUUCCUCUCUGAUGACUCUAGCUUGUGUCAAGUUUGCACACAAAACCAGCCAGUACACUGUUCAUAUAUAAAAAAUGAGAUCAUACAAAUCCAUGCUUACACAAUGUGUAGAAGGUUCUGGAAGGAUGGACACACAUACUGGUGAAGAUUACUUAUUUUCUUGGUGCUAUGGGCUAAAUAGUGUCCCCUGCCUCCUGGGCAAGUGCCCUGAGCCAUAGCCCCAGCCCAGUGGCAUCUCUUCAGUGUUCUCUGGAACGCACUGGGAAAGGCAUUAUUUGCUAUAUUGCCUUCAGUCCACUGUGAGUUUUUCUGAUCAGGAGUGCAUCUGAUUUUUAUAUGUGGAACUUAGGAAAAUGUCCUUUCCACUUGGAGUGGAUGUUGGUUGUGUGUAACCUAUUGAGUUAGAUUUCUGUGUUUAAAUUCACCACUGUAUAUCCUUCCUUCCAUGGCCCCUGAAAUAGGGUGCUUAUAAAAAAGGACUUGCAUUUCCUGCUGUGUCCCCUGUGAAUCACGGAGCCCAAACUGACAUUGCACAUGAUGGGCUGUGGACCUUUAUCAUGCUUGAGUAGUAACUGGAGCUGAAGCCUUGUCCCUGGGGUGGCCAGCUGUUUGCUGCUUUCCCAGAUCUUCAGGCACAGCCAUGUGCCUCAGAGGAGUAGAGGGCUUCCUGCUGCAUGGUGCUGCUGGCCAACGUCCGAGCCAACAGCACUCCUUGGUCCAGAAUGGCCAGAGCUGUUCAUCCUGUCUGGACUAAGAUGCUCCUGCUCAUCGCCAUCUACUGGUCCACUGUGUCCUUGUGCUGUAGAGCACUCAACUUAUCACAUGAUUGCAGAGGUAGCUCUCAGGAAGUCCCUAAGGCUGACUCUGGCCCACUGUCUGAUAGGAGCCCUUUAGAGUGUCAGCAAUAAAAACCCACUUUGGAAACCAAGACUGGCUGUGUACAAUGAGUGAGAGGCUAUGCUGAGGUGUGUGUGUGUUGGUGGGGGGAGUGGCAUGAGGAAGGCCAGGCUAUCCUGUUGGCAGGGCAGAGCCUGUGUGUGGUGUGGAUUAGGACUGUCCACAGACUUGGAGGUGGGAGAGGAGUCUGUCUGAGAACUGGUAGAAGCAAGGAAGAUACAAUUCAGGAACACUAGGCACUAGGGAGACCAGAUUAUUUUCUUUCUGGGCUUUUUUUUUUUAAUGUACUCUCCUAACUUCCUAUAAUUUUAUUGUAUGUGAUGAGUGUUUUGCCUGCCUGAACCACAUGUGUGCAGUACCCUCAGAGGCCAAAAGGGGGCAUCAGAUCCUCUGGGAUUGGAGCUACACACUUGUUAAGAACCGUGUGGGUUCUGGGAGCUGAACCCAGGUCCUCUGCAAGUGAGGAAGCUCUUGUAAUAGCUGAGCCUUCCACCGCUCCUCUUGCCGACAUGCACCCUCAGGUACACUGAAAGGUACUUUAGAGCACAGGUGCGGGACUGGACAUGACUCAACCAUUAACACCUGCAGCUCAAGUGUGAGGAGCCAGUAAAAGCCAGGCAUGGUCCGUAAGUGCCUGUAACCUUAGCACUGAGGGGAAGAGAUGGGAGGAUCACUGGGGCCUGCUGGUUGACAGUCUAUUAAUAAAAAAAAGCCCAGAGCGAGACCCUGCCUCAGAGGAAUGGGUUCCUAGAAACUCUGCUUAGGUUUCUAUGCACAACAUGAGGUGGGAGGAGCCUGUGCAUCAGGGCUGCAGAUCAGCCUGCUUGGCUGGGACAGAUAGCUCUCUGUGGACAUCAGUCCAGUCACUAAAUAUGUGAGGGAGGCCAUCUGACAUCCACUUUUGAGCUGGCUGGCCUAGCUGCCCAAACAUAGCUAAGCACGAACGAAAUGAGGCAGAGGCAGGAAGGAGAAGCAGAGGUGUUUACAGAGUGAGUUUUUGUUGCUGUUUUGUUUUCAGACAGGGUCUUGCUGUGUAGUUCCAGCUGGCCUCAAACUACUAUGUAGAGCAGCCUGAUCUGGGACUCACAGAAAUCACCUUCCUUUGCCUCCCUAGUGCUGGAAUCAAAGGCAACUACCCAAACAGGUAGGGUGUUUAUAGUUUUAAGCCACUAAAUUUUGGAGUUGUUUAGUAUUAAGAAAAAAAACCAAGCAAACCUUGGCUGUGCCCUCUAGCUAGCACAUUCUAGGAUGUAGUGAAAGGCCAGAGUUUUACAGGAGUGAUUAGCAUGAAGAAAAGAACCUUUACAUGGUGAAUGAGGAUAGGUUUCUGUGAAGAAGGUUGUGAAAGAGCAAUAAUACAAAAUAGAUAACAUCUACUAUGCCCUUUGGUUCAGCUGUGGAGCUAAACAAAAUUUUGGUGACUAAAUAAGGAAUCUUUAAUAUGUACAACAUAGCAUCGUUAUUCCCUGUCAAAACAGGUAAAAUCCUCAAUCAGGCCUGGUACACAUCUGUAAUCUCAGCAGUGGGAGGUAGGGCUGGGAGAUCAGGAGUUUGAGGCUAUCCCGCCUUAAAAAAAAAAAAAGCCCCCAAACAAACAAACAAAAAGAAAACCAAACAAACCAUAGAACCUGUCAAAAACCCAAACAAACCUCCUGUCUAACAGGGAUGAAACUGGGAAGGUAUUACGUGAAAGAAGCUAACCUCAGAAAGACAAGACACGUGGAAGCUAAAAAGCUGACUGCACAGCAGCAGAGGCUGUUGAAUAUGAGGAAGGGCAUGGGGCAGGUAGAGAAAGAGGGUUUGGAUAAAGGACACGGACAUACAGGCAUGGAUGAGGAUCCUAGGAGAAUCUACCACAGACUCAGCUUACUGUACAGUGAAAUGCCCCUCCCAGCCAGGCCUUCCACCGGUAAGCCCUGACUCCAAUAUUGCCAAAGAAGGGAGGUUACCACGUCCUUGGGGAAAGUGUUAGCCAGGCAAGGUGGUGUACAACUUCCGUCCCUGGGGAAGCUGAGCAGGAGGAUCUUACGCUCCAGUCAGCUUGGGCUCUUUAAGGAGAUCCCGUUUCAAAGAAGAAAAAAACAAAACAAAACACCCAAAACCUGUUAAAUAGUGAUACUGUCAGAGGCAUUGCGCACUGGACCAAGCAGUAUGAUAAAGCUCUGUUGAGUGCAUGGUGUAAACCACAUUGUCAUUGUCCAUAUAAUGGGGUCAGUAGAGAAUACCCAAGUGAGUAAGUGAUGAUGGUAGACACCAUCUUCCUUGAAAGAAGUCUCUAAGGAAAUGGGUGAAGUUAUUGAAGAUAACAUCCCAGGUUGUCCUCUGGCUUACACACACACACACACACACACACACACACACACACACACACACACAUGCAUACCUACGCUACCCCCUAAAAAAAGCAGAGAACACAGGGCUAGAGAUGGCUCAGUAGUUAAGAGCACCCACUGUUCUUCCAGGGGACCUGGGUUCUAAUCCCAGCACCUACCUAUAUGGUGGCUCACAACUGUCUGUACUCCAGUUCAGGGGAUCUGACACCCUCUUCUGGCUUUCUGGGAUCAAUGCAGUCAUGUAGUUCAUGUAUAAAAUGCAGGCAAGACAGUCAUACACACCAAAUAAAAGGGGAAAUAUCUUUAAAUUUUUUAAUUUUUAUUUUAUGCGCAUUGGUGUUUUCCCUGCAAGUGUGUCUGUGUGAGAGUGCCAGAUCUUGGAGUGACAAUUGUGAGCUGCCAUGUGGGUACUGGAAAUUGAAUUCAGGUUCUCUGGAAGAGCAACCAGCCAGAGCUCUUAAUGAAAGACCCCUGCCUCACCCUAAGUUAAACAUAGCUAACGCCAUUUUGUGAGACACCACUGUUUUGUAAAACUCUGAAGGCUAAAUGAAAAACUGGAAAAUUACUAAGAAACCCAGCUGUGUCAUCCACUUGGGAUAUCUGCCGUCAGGCUGCCCCAGUUGAGCUAAAAACAGUUUGUAUUAAUCACCCUCAUGGAUAUCUGUGAGACUGUUCCAGUUAAGAUAAGGGUCCUAAGGAAAACAGCAGGUGGCGGGUCACGUCAGGGGGUCAUCAUGACUGUUUCGACCACCCAGUUCCUGGAAUCUUGGUGUCCCUGCCAAACUUUGAUGCAAACCGUGGUCUCAUGUAAACGUACGAAUCAGCCCCCUGUAACCAUGCUUCUCGCUUCUGUACCCACGCUUCUGCUCUAAAACCCUAUAAAAACCCCAGCCUUUCACCCAGGGGGCGCGCAAAGUCAUCCGAAUGACCUUGCUGCCCCGGGUACCCGUGUAUCAAAAUAAAAGCCUCUUGCUGUUUGCA